rnacentral:tmRNA from 1 species
CCAUUUGCAUCCGCGCCCCGAGGCACCUAUAUUGGGUCUGCUGGCAACAGCUAUGGCGAUAAAUUGCCAUCGUAAUAAACCCAUUGGACCCGGGGGCAGUACCCGGCGCCUCCACCAAAUUUCUCCCGUCACGGCGGGAGACCAUGGGGGCGAAAUAGGAUCGACAAGGGCGUAAAGGGUGUGUUUUCGCUCGGCAUGGUACCGCCGUUAUCGGACCGACACUUAUAGUUGCCAAUGACAACCAUAAGGCUCCGGUCGCUCUCGCCGCGUAAGCGGUGCUAGCACUGGGAAUUUAAGUCCUCCGCUCCUAGCCGGGCGACAGGCGGGGUCCGCAGGCACCUGGCAACAGAAGCCUGCAUU